rnacentral:rRNA from 1 species
AACGAACGCUGGCGGCAGGCUUAACACAUGCAAGUCGAACGGGUGUAGCAAUACAUCAGUGGCAGACGGGUGAGUAACACGUGGGAACCUUCCUAGAGGUACGGAACAACUCAGGGAAACUUGAGCUAAUACCGUAUAAGCUCUUGCGAGGAAAGAUUUAUCGCCUUUAGACGGACCCGCGUAGGAUUAGGUAGUUGGUGGGGUAAUGGCCUACCAAGCCUACGAUCCUUAGCUGAUCUGAGAGGAUGAUCAGCCACACUGGGACUGAGACACGGCCCAGACUCCUACGGGAGGCAGCAGUGGGGAAUCUUGGACAAUGGGCGCAAGCCUGAUCCAGCCAUGCCGCGUGAGUGAAGAAGGCCUUCGGGUUGUAAGGCUCUUUUACCAGGGACGAUAAUGACGGUACCUGGAGAAUAAGCCCCGGCAAACUUCGUGCCAGCCGCCGCAGUAAAAC